CGCCUCUUGAUUAAUUAUAAGAGGUAUAGCCUGCCCAGUGAUAUAUUUAACGGCCGCGGUAUCCUAACCGUGCAAAGGUAGCGUAAUCACUUGUUCUUUAAAUGAGGACUAGUAUGAACGGCAUCACGAAGGUUAUACUGUCUCCUUUCUUUAAUCAGUAAAACUAAUCUCCCCGUGAAGAAACGAGGAUAAAUCUAUAAGACGAGAAGACCCUAUGGAGCUUAAAACUAUCCAGCAUUUGCUUAAUACAAAACUUUUAAUAACUUUAAAGACAUCUAGCCCACUGACUGGUAAUUUUCGAUUGGGGUGAUCACGGAACAAAAAAUAACCUCCGUGUCGAAAGAGUUUAUCUGAGCUAAAAGCGACAGCUUUCCGCACUAAUAAAUUAACGUUUAUUGACCCAAUAUUUUGAUCAACGAAUCAAGUUACCCUAGGGAUAACAGCGCAAUCUACUUCAAGAGUCCCUAUCGACAAGUAGGUUUACGACCUCGAUGUUGGAUCAGGGUAUCCCAGUGGUGCAGCCACUACUAAAGGUUCGUUUGUUCAACGAUUAAUACCCUA
rnacentral:rRNA from 1 species